rnacentral:rRNA from 1 species
CGGCAGCGCGGGGAGCUUGCUCCCUGGCGGCGAGUGGCGGACGGGUGAGUAACGCGUAGGAAUCUGCCUUAUAGUGGGGGACAACCCGGGGAAACUCGGGCUAAUACCGCAUAAUCUCUACGGAGCAAAGUGGGGGAUCUUCGGACCUCACGCUAUAAGAUGAGCCUGCGUCGGAUUAGCUUGUUGGUGGGGUAAAGGCCUACCAAGGCGACGAUCCGUAGCUGGUCUGAGAGGACGAUCAGCCACACUGGGACUGAGACACGGCCCAGACUCCUACGGGAGGCAGCAGUGGGGAAUAUUGGACAAUGGGGGCAACCCUGAUCCAGCAAUGCCGCGUGUGUGAAGAAGGCCUUCGGGUUGUAAAGCACUUUCAGUAGGGAAGAAAGACUCAAGGUUAAUAGCCUUGAGAGUUGACAUUACCUACAGAAGAAGCACUGGCUAACUCUGUGCCAGCAGCCGCGGUAAUACAGAGAGUGCAAGCGUUAAUCGGAAUAACUGGGCGUAAAGCGCACGUAGGUGGACAUUUAAGUCGGAUGUGAAAGCCCUAGGCUUAACCUAGGAACUGCAUCCGAUACUGGGUGUCUAGAGUAUAGUAGA